rnacentral:misc_RNA from 1 species
AACGCACAUUGCGCCCCUUGGUAUUCCGGGGGGCAUGCCUGUUCGAGCGUCAUUUCAACCCUCAAGCUUUGCUUGGUCUUGGGCACUGCCGGUAACGGCUUGCCCUAAAAUCAGUGGCGGUGCCCUCUGAGCUCUACGCGUAGUAAUAAAACCCUCGCGACUGAGUCUUGGUAGAUGCUUGCCAGCAACCCCCUAAUUCUUAUAUGGUUGACCUCGGAUCAGGUAGGGAUACCCGCUGAACUUAA